GCAUAUCAAUAAGCGGAGAGAAGAUCAUUAAUAAAU
rnacentral:rRNA from 1 species